rnacentral:lncRNA from 1 species
AUGUGGCGCCUGAACUCAUCCUGUCUGGGAUCGCGUCAAGCUUCAUCUUGUCGGCCUAAUCUUUUCUUAGGCUUCACGUCGCUCCUGUCGACUGGGUACAGCUCUUCUGCACAAUUAAAAGCAGCGAAGGCACUCCAGCCGCUUGGAGAGACGAGGCCUCACAGCUCAAGACUGGUCCAGCAAGGUCCUUUUCAAGGUACAAUAAACAGAAAGCAGCUCUGCAAAGGGAGCAGCAAUAGCUGCUUAAUCAACAAUGGCUUCUACAAGAACGUCCAUCCCAGGAGCACAGCAGAACUGACAACGUAUCAUCUCUAUGACUGCUAGUCCAGCUUCUGGCUGAAAUGGGGCUGCUGUCAUCAGCACACAUGGGGCUGCUACAUGGAAGGAUUUUCUGGAGUAUUCAACCAAAGCCAGUCUGCAGUCCAGGUAAGACCAGCUCCUCCAUGAGAGCCAGGGGGCAUCUUCCAAGUUAUGAGCAGAGGGAUGGUGUGAACAGUGGCUGAUGGUACAAAUUUUUAUUUUGAAUAAAGUCCUGAGUGGGCAUUUAUUCGACUCA